CUGAUAUCAACAACAAGUGCAUUUGGUGGAAACACACCACUGAUGGCAAAAGCUGGCCAGAGCUCCCUCUUGGUUCGGGAGCUCUUCUCUAGGUUGACACUGUCCCUGGCGAAGGAGUGAUAACACCCUAAUGAUUAACUUCAGAGAAACACGAGAGGAGAAUUGACUGAGAACACAUUCUCAUUUACAGCAACAACCUGGGGAAUAGUUACAGGGGAGAGAAGGUGGGAAAAAUGAGCCAAUUGGAAGCUGUGGAUGAUUAGGUGGGCAUGAUGGUAUGAGGGCCAGAUUGGGAAUUUAGCCAGGACACCAGGGUUAACACCCCUACUCUUACGAUAAGUGCCAUGGAAGGCACCUCUACCAUACCGACUCUCAUACCAUAAGAAACAAGAUUCUCUGGUGUGAUGAAACCAAUAUUGAACUCUUUGGCCUGAAUGGCAAGCGUCACAUCUGGAGGAAACCUGGCACCAUCCCUAAGGUGAAGAAUGGUGGUGGCAGCAUCAUGCUGUAGGGAUGUUUUUCAGCGGCAGGGACUGAGAGACUAAUCCGCAUCAAGGCAAAGAUUAACGGAGCAAAGUACAGAGAGAUCCUUGAUGAAAACCUGCUAGAGAGAGCUGAGGACCUCAGACUGGGGCGAAGGUUCACCUUCUAACAGGACAACGACCCUAAGCACACAGCCAAGACAACGCAGGAGUGGCUUCAUAUAUCAUAUGAUGCAAACUGCUCAUAAAUGCAUCAUACCGGCUGUAUUUCUGUACUUUGAAAGUUAAUAAUAUUUAAAGAAUUUAGAAAAUUCCAAAAACAAAUUCCCGUAAAUGUAUAUUUUAAGCUCAAA
rnacentral:lncRNA from 1 species